UGAACCAUAUGGGAGUCAUCAUAGAUGGUCCACAUCUGUGAGCAGCUGGGACCAAGCGAUCGAACCCUGGAACCUGCAUUUCCCACAGGUACCACUAGAGGACGCUACUGUGACCAGACACCAGCAUGGCUAAGACUUGUUCCAGUUGCAUCAGUGAAUGAGGCGAGCAGUUCUACCUCGCGGUCACUAGAAAUGGGUCUUUGAGGGUUAAACACUCUCCUGCUUCCUGGUCGGCUGUGACGGGAACAGCCUCUAUCACACACAUCCAUAGCCAAGAACCAAGGCAUCUCGUCACAGCAACACCAUCUUGAAUUCUGGACACAUGUCUGGGUGAACAAUGAGUCCACUGGAACCCUAGCCUUGCUACCUUCUCUUGCUUCUUACAACAGAGCUCUCCAGAAAGCAGGGGUCAGACUGCCGCAUUAGGCACCCGCUUUCCUUGCUUGACUUUGGAAAGUGAGGUUUUUGAUGCGCGCCAGCCACUGGGUCGUCUUGGAAGUUCUUUCUGGGUUCCUGGAUUGGACAGUUCCACCCUAUGAAGGCUUUCUGUGUGGCCUCAAUCAGUUCCAGCUCCUAGGAACACUGAAUUUUUGUGGUUCCUGCCUUGGAAUAUCUUUGCUCCUAAACAUGGGGCUGUAAAGACAAGAGUGCUUCGCUGGAGGAGGCUGGACGAUGUUCCGAUGGACAGACGCCCCUGGCAACUGGACCUCGGGGUGCCCUGCUCCUGGAUUGGGUUAUAGUCUACAAGGGGAAAUUUUCACUUAACCCACUUUACCGUUUUCAAAGACCACCAGGGUGUGUGAUAGAAACAGAGCUGGCCACUCUGCUCUGACGACUGGAGAUGGAUAACCACAACCACGAACAUCUCUACACCAUCACCGCCAGCAGGGCUACUUACACGGUUGGUAUACCAAGCACCAGCGGCUGCAUCGCACUCUAUCACUGACUACCACCUGCCUCAGCAGCAGCACCACCAUCACCAUCACCACCACCGCCACCGGCCGUGAGUGCGGGUACCUAUGGAGACCAGAAAGAAGUGGAUGUUGGGUCCCCUGGAGCUGCAGUUAUCGGAGGCAUUGUGAGCCGAGCCACUUGGGUGCUGGGAACGGAAUCUGGGCUCACAGUCACUCAUCUGACUAGCUCCAUGUACUGUUUCCAUGGGUGACAGAGGGAAAUGUGCCGUGUAUCAGGGGUCUGGGUCAUCACACUAGGAAGAGAAUGCAUUGCUGUGUUAGAGGAUUUGCAACCCCGCCAUCUGCCCGACACAUCUAGGGGACAAGACACAACCUGUAGCUCUGCAACUUGGUUGGCACUGCAGCAGGACCUCAGGAAACCACUCCCACUGUCCCCCGCCCCCCAAUGGCACUCACAGGCCAGCAGUGAUAAACAUCUGGAAGACAGAGUCCUGGUUCUCGAGACAUUUGAUAUGAACAAAAUUAGAAGCUAAGGAAACAUCCCAGAACUACUCUUUUUAAAGGGAGUCUUGCUUUGUGGCCCAGAAAUCUCUCAAGUUCCUGACUCUCAUGUGUCUGCCUUCCAGGUGCAGUCACCACCCCUGGGCUCCAAAAUCACUUCUUUUAAUACUAUUACAGAGGUCAUGUAGCAAUAUGCGAAAAGCCUCACAAGUUCAGUCCCGGCCCACAGGGCACUGCGUGAGAUGGCAAUGCAGCUGGGUAGUAGCUCCGAGGUGGAACACUGCAGAACCGGCAGCCAUGCCAUUGAGAACAUUGAGUGUGAGAUCGCAGUGGAGCUGCACGGUGAUGUCACAGGGCAAUGCAGUGUUCCUGAACGAUAAUGCUGGAGUCCACACACCUGGAGUCAGCCACUCAUAUGAGAAUGCACUAGGGGCUGGCUCAGUGGCUCAAGGGCUUGCUGUGCAAGCUUAGGACCCGAGUUCAGAUCCCACAGAACCCACGUAUUAGUCAGACAGGCAUGGCAGGCCGCCUAUAAUUUCAGCCUGGGGAAGGCUGGAGGUGAGGGAUACUCAGAACAAGCAGGCUGGCAAGGUUAGCCAUAUUCAGUGAGCUCUGGGUUUUAUUGAGAGAUCCUGCCUUAUUGAAUAAGGUGGUUCUGGGUUUGAUUGAGAGACCCUGCCUUAUUGAAUAAGGUGGAAGCACCAUGGAGCAUCUUCAGGCUUGGAGCCGCUACAUGCACACACACCCGUGUGCAUGUGCUCCCAAUACACAAGUGACCUCACACGUGCAAACAGGUAUACACACACACAUGCACACCAUGUGCUAAAUAUUUAGCACACGUACACAAAAGAAUGAAAAUAAGAUUAAAGACCACAGUGAACGCAAUGACAUGGGGCACGGGGCGCUUGCUUGUGGUGACGGCCCUUGGUGUUAUUGGCUUAAGUGUUUGCUGUUCUGUGUUUUUUAUAGUUUUGAGAGUACAGUUCUCUUAUUUGUAUAAAAUCCCCAGUUGCUCCAAGCCAGGCUGCUGUGUUGUUGCCAAUGGCAGCCUUGGGUGGUUUCGACUGGGUCGAUAGCUAUCUUUGGUGAUGGAUUUAAUGAUAGGUGGGAGGCAGGCUGGACCACCUAGAUUUGUAUGGGCACAUUCUAGUGAUGGUGAGACCCAACACGGCAUUUCUCAGGUGUCCCCAUCAUAGUGCAUAGCUGCCUGCUCCCCAGCCCAGCAGUGCCACUGCCAUGCAAAGAAAUCAGGUAGCUUCCCCACAAGGAUAUCUGCCACAGCAGUGUGAGUCACCAUGCCAAACCCUUGAUGCCCCAGCAACCCGGCCUUUGUGGGGCAAAGCCAUGGUUGGCCUGGGCAGUGAAGACGGUUCGGUUCUGCUGCUUCCUGUUGCUAUAGAUGCGUGGUUAUUGACAUGGAAGAGUGGCAGCGGAAUAUAAUUUCACGUGGAAAUGCAGCUUAUGUGUAAAGAAAUUCAAUUAUACAGAUGCCCAUAUUUCCUCUGUCUAGAAAUUUCUCACAAUUUUCUAUCAUCUCGUACAGUCGACUUUUUUUUUUUUAAAUUGAUGGCAAAGAAUCCAUGUCAUAAUAGAGUAAUAUGGAAGUAAACACAAUAAAUCAACAAUAGAGAUGUCGUAUCAGGG